GACGAAAUCUUCUAAAAAUCCGAUAAACUUUCCUUAGUCGUUUCUUCUCUCUUUUUGCGGUCGGUUUUUUCGGCUGGUCAAAGUGUUCCCUACGUACGCAUGCAGUUUAUAGUUACAACUUUAUUGUGGUCUGGUGGAGAAGCAGAAGAAUCCUGGGGGACGUUAGCAUAAAUAAUGAACUAAGCUCUAGUACAUAUAUGUAAUGGUAAAAGUCUACUAGAUAGAUGAAAGGGCUAUAAUGUGUCAUUUAUUUCGUAUAUCUGGAGCAAAGUCAUUACAUGUUAAAUGACGGCAUAAUUUCGUCAAAGGGAUAAUGACAGCGAGGGAAAAGGCAAGACUAACUCCCACGUUCAACCUUGUUUGCAAAAUCUGGAUUGCACCUGGAUUCCUCUGCUGUCUGCUUAUAAGGAAAUCGUUCCCAGUUCGCUUCAGAAACUUAAUACUCCUUGAAAACCUGGAUUGAUAAAAACAAGUCAACCAACCAGGCAACAAAGGGCUAUGCCGUGCUAUAGACUAUUAUUUAGCAGACUGAUCCCCUGACUAUGACAAGAAUAAAAGUUGGCAGCAGCAUAAUGUACAAAGUUCAGUUUUCCAGAAAGCCUUUUAACUUGCAAAAACCAGAAUAAAAUAGCCCAUAGCACUUCUUGGAACUAUUAGGAGAGAAGAAAAAAAUAUGAAAAAAUUGAACACACAAAACGCUUUCUAUUGUUCUUAUCGACAUUCGUUCCGUUUAUUCUCUCUUAAUAAGAAACUCAAUACGUACGAAUAAUGUUCACAAAUUAUAUAGAAAUAAAUGUUAUUUUUAUUUAUUA